rnacentral:rRNA from 1 species
GAUGAACGCUGGCGGCGUGCCUAAUACAUGCAAGUCGAGCGAACGGACGAGAAGCUUGCUUCUCUGAUGUUAGCGGCGGACGGGUGAGUAACACGUGGAUAACCUACCUAUAAGACUGGGAUAACUUCGGGAAACCGGAGCUAAUACCGGAUAAUAUUUUGAACCGCAUGGUUCAAAAGUGAAAGACGGUCUUGCUGUCACUUAUAGAUGGAUCCGCGCUGCAUUAGCUAGUUGGUAAGGUAACGGCUUACCAAGGCAACGAUGCAUAGCCGACCUGAGAGGGUGAUCGGCCACACUGGACCUGAGACACGGUCCAGACUCCUACGGGAGGCAGCCGUAGGGAAUCUUCCGCAAUGGGCGAAAGCCUGACGGAGCAACGCCGCGUGAGUGAUGAAGGUCUUCGGAUCGUAAAACUCUGUUAUUAGGGAAGAACAUAUGUGUAAGUAACUGUGCACAUCUUGACGGUACCUAAUCAGAAAGCCACGGCUAACUACGUG